rnacentral:rRNA from 1 species
CGCUUCAGGAUGGGACUGCGACUGAUCAGGCUGUUGGCGGGGUAAUGGCCCACCAAACCAGUAACCAGUACGGGCCUUGAGAGAGGGGGCCCGGAGAUGGACACUGAGAGAAGGGUCCAGGUCCUACGGGGCGCAGCAGGCGCGAAACCUUCGCAAUGCGCGAAAGCGUGACGAGGUUAAUCCGAGUGGUUCCCGCUGAGGGGAUCUUUUGUCGGCUGUAAAAAGGCCGGUGAAUAAGGGGAGGGCAAGUCUGGUGUCAGCCGCCGCGGUAAUACCAGCUCCUCGAGUGGUCGGGGCGAUUAUUGGGCCUAAAGCAUCCGUAGCCGGUUCUGUAGGUCCUCUGUUAAAUCCAACGGUUUUAACCGUUGGCCCGCAGAGGAUACCGCAGGACUAGGAGGCGGGAGAGGUGGACGGUACUCUACGUGUAGGGGUAAAAUCCUUUGAUCCGUAGAAGACCACCAGUGGCGAAGGCGGUCUGCCAGAACGCGCUCGACGGUGAGGGAUGAAAGCUGGGGGAGCGAACCGGAUUAUAUACCCGGGUAGUCCCA